rnacentral:rRNA from 1 species
AAGCGAGUAAGGGCAUACAGGGGAUGCCUGGGCGUCUCGUGCCGAAGAAGGACGUGGUACACUGCGAAAAGCUCCGGUGAGCCGUGUGCAGGCGCAAGAGCCGGAGAUGUCCGAAUGGGGAAACCCGUCCCGGGUGAUGCCGGGACAUCCCGCAAGGGAGGGGAACCGGGUGAACUGAAACAUCUUAGUAACCCGAGGAAAAGAGAUCAUUCUGCUAGUAGUGGCGAGCGAACGCGGAAGAGCCUAAACCGACGAAAGUCGGGGUUGGAGGGUUCUCGGUAAACAACAGCGGUCGAAGCGGAAGGGUCUGGGAAGGCCCACCAGAGAGGGUGAUAGUCCCGUAGGCGCAGACUUAAGUUGGGCGAGAAUACCUGAGUACCGCAGGACACGCGAAAUCCGGCGGGAAGCAGGGGUGACCACACCCCAAGGCUAAAUACAUGAGACGACCGAUAGCGAACCAGUACCGUGAGGGAAAGGUGAAAAGAACCCCGGCGAGGGGAGUGAAAGAGACUCUGAAACUGUAUGCCUACAACCGGUCAGAGUCCCGCGCAAGCGGGGUGAUGGCGUGCCUUUUGGAGAAUGAGCCUGCGAGUUCAUCUCAGUGGCGAGCUUAAGGGAGUGACACCCGGAGGCGAAGCGAAAGCGAGUCUGAAAAGGGCGAGCAGUGGCUGGGAUGAGACACGAAACCGGGUGAGCUACGCAUGGUCAGGGUGAAAGUGCGGUAACACGCACGGGAGGCCCGAACUCACCAGUGUUGCAAAACUGGGGGAAGAACUGUGUGUAGGGGUGAAAUGCCAAACGAACUCGGAGAUAGCUUGUUCUCCCCGAAAUAGCUUUAGGGCUAGCGUUGCGCGAUGGGUCCAGGAGGUAGAGCACUGGAUGGGCUAGGGGGCUGUGAGCUUACUGAACCCAACCAAACUGCGAAUGCCUGGACGGGGAGCGCAGCAGUCGGACUGUGGAUGAUGAGAUUCAUGGUCGAGAGGGAAAGAACCCAGACCCACAGCUAAGGUCCUGAAGGGGUGCUAAGUGGGAAACGAUGUGCGGGUGUCGAGACAGCCAGGAGGUUGGCUUAGAAGCAGCCACCCUUGAAAGAGUGCGUAACAGCUCACUGGUCGAACGCCUGUGCGCGGAUAAUGUAACGGGGCUGAAGCACCACACCGAAGCUUGGGACGUGAAAGCGUGGUAGGGGAGCGUUCCGCCAGCGGAGAAGGCGUGCUGGAAGGCACGUUGGAGCGGGCGGGAGUGAGAAUGCAGGCAUGAGUAGCGUAAAACAUGUGAGAACCAUGUUCGCCGAAGGUCUAAGGUUUCCGACGGAAGGUCAGUCCGCGUCGGGUUAGUCGGGCCUAAGCCGAGGCCGAGAGGCGUAGGUGAUGGACAACCGGUUAAUAUUCCGGUACCAGACAGGGGAGAAGGCGCGAGGGACUCAGGAAGGGUCAGCCGCUGGGUGGAGUGCGGUGGCAAGCGGUUAACGACCGCGAAGCCGUGCCGAAAGGCAGGAAGUGACCGGGACCUGGGGACAAGAAAAGGCGCGCCGACGAUGAAGCUGUCUGCCCGUACCACAAACCGACACCGGUAGAUAGGUAGAGGAUACCAGGGCGAACGGGAGAACCCUCGUUAAGGAACUAGGCAAAAAGGUCCCGUAACUUCGGGAGAAGGGACACCCCUCGCAAGGGGGGUCGCAGCGAAGAGGCUCUACCGACUGUUUACCAAAAACACAGGUCUCUGCAAACGCGAAAGCGGACGUAUAGGGGCUGACACCUGCCCAGUGCCGGAAGGUUAAGAGGAGGGGUUAGCGCAAGCGAAGCUCUGAAUUGAAGCCCCGGUGAACGGCGGCCGUAACUAUAACGGUCCUAAGGUAGCGAAAUUCCUUGUCGGGUAAGUUCCGACCCGCACGAAAGGUGUAACGAGUGGAGCACUGUCUCAACGGGGGACCCGGCGAAAUUGAAGUACGUGUAAAGAUGCGCGUUACCCGCAGUCGGACAAAAAGACCCUGUGGAGCUUUACUGUAGCCUGUCAUUGCGUUAGGGCACAACUUGUGUAGGAUAGCUGGGAGGCGGAGAAGCCUGGUCGCCAGACUGGGUGGAGCCGACGGUGAAAUACCAGCCUGGUUGUGCUUUGGCCCUAACCGCGAGCGUGGAGCGAGCGGGACAGUGGCAGGUGGGCAGUUUGACUGGGGCGGUCGCCUCCUAAAAGGUAACGGAGGCGCCCAAAGGUUGGCUCAGGCGGAAUGGAAACCCGCCGCAGAGUGUAAAGGCACAAGCCAGCUUGACUGCAAGACGGACAGGUCGAGCAGAGACGAAAGUCGGGCUUAGUGAUCCCACGGCGCUGAGUGGAAGGGCCGUGGCUUACCGGAUAAAAGCUACCCCGGGGAUAACAGGCUAGUCUUGCCCAAGAGUCCAUAUCGACGGCAAGGCUCGGCACCUCGAUGUCGGCUCAUCGCAUCCUGGGGCUGGAUAAGGUCCCAAGGGUUGGGCUGUUCGCCCAUUAAAGCGGUACGUGAGCUGGGUUCAGACCGUCGUGAGACAGGUCGGUCUCUAUCCGCUGUGGGCGUUGGGAGUUUGAGAGGCGCUGCCCCUAGUACGAGAGGACCGGGGUGGACGCAGCGCUCGUGAGCCGGUUGUUUCGCCAGAAGCACAGCCGGGUAGCGAACUGCGGAACGGAUAACCGCUGAAAGCAUCUAAGUGGGAAACCGACCUCAAGAUGAGACUCCCCAUCCGAAAGGAGUAAGACCGCUGGUAGACGACCAGUUGGAUAGGCCGGAGGUGGAAGCGUGGCAACACGUGGAGCUGACCGGUACUAAUGGUCGAGGGCUU